CAGGUAUUUUGGAACUAGCAAAUACUUGCAAGAUACCUGAAGUUUAAAGUAGGAGGUGUGUAGCUCUAAGUUAUGAUUAUACUGUUCUAGCUAUCAUUUAUUAUUUUUUUCGUUUUUAUUUUAUUCAAUCCUAACUAUGACUGAAGAAUAGCAAUAAAGAUUGCUAGGACCGUUAAAAAAAGAAGAAGACAAAUGCCGAUAGAAGACUACAGUUUUGUGAACCUGCUCUGGUCUUCCCUAUGUGACUAUUACUCAACAGUCAACUCUGAAAUUUAUUCCCAGUAUACAGUUUAUACUAUCCCUCAUUUUUAUAAUUAUAAAUUAAAAAAUCAUGGGUAUUUCUCUGUUGGUUCGAUCCUUUACUAGGUACCUGAGAUGUACUCCAUAUCUUCAUGAGGUAAAAA
rnacentral:lncRNA from 1 species